CCGGUUACCUGUUUUAAUUUUCUUUCUUUUUUUAAUUUAUUUUUUUUAUCUGAAUAUUAACCUUUCAUCUUCUAUCUCACUCACCAUCUCAACCAAAACUGUUCCAGAUCUAAGUUUUCUUAGUCGUCGGCCACUGCACUUGUUUUUUCUUGAAAAGGGUUCGCUGUUUUCCUCCAAUUUACCCACAAUGUUUGGUAAUAUGUUUCUG
rnacentral:lncRNA from 1 species